UACGAAGGGUGCUAGCGUUGUUCGGAAUUACUGGGCGUAAAGCGCGCGUAGGUGGCUACUCAAGUCAGAGGUGAAAUCCCAGGGCUUAACCCUGGAACUGCCUUUGAAACUAAGUAGCUAGAGUACUGGAGGGGUUGGCGGAAUUCCUAAUGUAGCGGUGAAAUGCGUAGAUAUUAGGAGGAACACCGGUGGCGAAGGCGGCCAACUGGACAGUAACUGACACUGAGGCGCGAAAGCGUGGGGAUCAAACAGG
rnacentral:rRNA from 1 species